ACGAACGCUGGCGGCGUGCUUAACCCCUGCAAGUCGAACGGAAAGGCCCUGCUUUUGUGGGGUGCUCGAGUGGCGAACGGGUGAGCAACACGUGAGUAACCUGCCCUUGACUUUGGGAUAACUUCAGGAAACUGGGGCUAAUACCGGAUAGGAGCUCCUGCUGCAUGGUGGGGGUUGGAAAGUUUCGGCGGUUGGGGAUGGACUCGCGGCUUAUCAGCUUGUUGGUGGGGUAGUGGCUUACCAAGGCUUUGACGGGUAGCCGGCCUGAGAGGGUGACCGGCCACAUUGGGACUGAGAUACGGCCCAGACUCCUACGGGAGGCAGCAGUGGGGAAUAUUGCACAAUGGGCGGAAGCCUGAUGCAGCAACGCCGCGUGCGGGAUGACGGCCUUCGGGUUGUAAACCGCUUUCGCCUGUGACGAAGCGUGAGUGACGGUAAUGGGUAAAGAAGCACCGGCUAACUACGUG
rnacentral:rRNA from 1 species